GACGAACGCUGGCGGCGUGCUUAACACAUGCAAGUCGAACGGUGAAGCGCUUGCCUUUUUGGUGGGUGUGGAUGAGUGGCGAACGGGUGAGUAACACGUGAGUAACCUGCCCUCUUCUUCUGGAUAACCUCAUGAAAGUGGGGCUAAUACGGGGUAUUCCGGGUCUGUCGCAUGGCGGGUUUGGGAAAGAUUGCGCCUUUGGGUGUUUUCGGUGGGGGAUGGGCUCGCGGCCUAUCAGCUUGUUGGUGGGGUGAUGGCCUACCAAGGCGGUGACGGGUAGCCGGCCUGAGAGGGUGGACGGCCACACUGGGACUGAGACACGGCCCAGACUCCUGCGGGAGGCAGCAGUGGGGAAUAUUGCACAAUGGGCGCAAGCCUGAUGCAGCGACGCCGCGUGAGGGAUGGAGGCCUUCGGGUUGUGAACCUCUUUCGCCAGUGAAGCAGGCCUGCCCCUGUGUGGGUGGGUUGACGGUAGCUGGAUAAGAAGCGCCGGCUAACUACGUG
rnacentral:rRNA from 1 species